ensembl:ncRNA lncRNA:CR43626 long non-coding RNA:CR43626
AUUAAAACCAAAACUGUGCAAGUGUCAAGAUCGGUUAGCAGCAGCAAAAAGAUAAAUAAGAAAUAGCCAAGGACCCAUAAAAUAAAUAAUCUCAAUACCAAAAAGUUCUAGUGAAAUUCACAAUUCUGACUUGGAAAGUGAAAGUUUGGCCAUUAAACGUACGAUUAAAAUCCACAACAGCACGAUCAAAAAUAGUAUCAAGCAAUUAGCGCAGAAAAAGUAACAAAAAAAAUUUUAAAAAACAGGAACGCGACGUGCCCGCAAAAGCGAAAAAAAAUUAAAAUCGAAAGUGUUCUACUGACAUGGAUUACUUUUUGCCGCCCAAACUACAAACACAACAAAACGCGCAGAGAAACUAGCACUACUUUUUUCUAUUCACCCAUUCGGAGAGUGAGAAGAAUCGGAGAGAAGGAAAGAGAGCAAAGGCCGGUCCGAAAUAGAAAGCACUACACUGGAAAAUCUGUUAAUAAGAAUGCAAUGAAAGUAAUACGAAACACAGAUAUAUUUAGCUUAUAUUACUCUUAAAACUCUAGAAAAAUCUAGAUCGGUUAAUAUAACAAUUUUAAAAUAGCUUAGUUGGCAUCGAUGUUACGGAAAAAAUUUUUCCAGUUGUACUUGAAAGGCAGAAAUAUUUCGAGAUUUAGAUUUAUGAGUCUUCCUAAAGAAAUUAAAUUGGAUAGAAAAUGUCUUUUAGAUAUAGAAUACAGGGUGAUGCCUAAUCCAUUAAAAUCGAGCAAUCUAAAAAGUGUCAUACCAGUUAGAUUGGGUGUAACCAACGCAACGUUCUCACUGUGUAGAUAGCGAUCUCUUCUAUUCGGCGGUGUACGUGCACUUGGCCAUUUGUCUCUCCAUUCUCCAUUUUUCGCGCCUCGCUCUCAAUUCUCUGCGCUCAAAUCCUCUAGCAAUUCUAAUUCGUAUUCUCGCCGCCUCGCUUUGAACUUGAACUUUAAAUGCACAAACCAUAAUCGUGUAUGUUAUGUUGUUGCUGGCCGAGGGCGUGCUCUCGCACUCUGGCAAACAUGGGCUCUACGAGUUUGCUAUAUAUACGCAGCGCAAUCAGUUGCGAGGCAGCACUCGUUCCAUGUGGGCGCUCGACAAUCGCCCGCUGAUCAGUUUUCGACUGGCUUGCAAUUAAUUCGGCUCUUGACGAGCCCCAAAAGUGAAAGUCGCGAGUGAAAGACGUGGCAGUUUUAUAUUAAAGAAAAAUACGAAAACGGGCAGCAGAUCAAACAUGAACAGUACGCAAAACACGAAAUGCGAAACGGCGGCAACAAGUUAAUAAAUUAAGACGGCAAACGAAAAAAUCCAGAUUCCGAGCACUGCAAAGAAAGUGGCACAAAUGCUUUGCUUUUAUCGUAGGAAAUUCGCAAAAAAUGUACAAAUAAAACGAAAGAAAAGUUGCCACUAUCAAAUCCCACCGUUCUUUAACUAUAGUUUCCUUCUAAAUCUAGCCUCUACUAGGCUUUGUCUGUGCAUUCGAAAGCCGAUCAGACAUAGCCUAUAAGAGGUUAGGUGUACCAAGGCGAACAAUCAGCGAAAACGGAAUCGAUUACAGUUUUGGAGAUCGUGAGAGGAGGAGAAGAGGCGACUGCUUGAUAAGCCCGGACCCUCCAGCGAUCUCCAAUCAAUAUUACUUUCCACCUACAUAUCUCCCCCUUUCAGCUGGUUUAAUUUUGGAUUCCCCCAUCUGGCUGGCCUAUUUUCGCCUGGCCUGCGUUAUUUAUUAGUUAAUAAACCAUUAAUAUAUACUUGAAUAAAAAGGCGUUUCUCUGAUUUUUGAUGAGUGUGCGUUUUCAUGGGACGGACUCAUCGAGCGAUUAUUGCGAGUCGGUUUGGCGACUUGGAUUUGUUGAUUUUACUUUGUUCUCGGGUUUUGCUGGCCACACAAAGCGGAUUGGAUUACAGUUUAUUAUCGAACUUGAAGGCGCCAGUCGCCAAAACAGCUGGUAAUUUUCCAAUACAUGAAUGGCAGGAAAAUCCAUUUGCGUCGUCAUGAGAAUUCUAUGUGGUGCAGUCCACCCGCGAUGAUAAUUUUUAAGAUUUGGGAAGAUUGAAUACAUAUGAUAUCAUAUAUGAUAUGAAUACAAUUUUAAUAAAGAAAAAUUAUGCUAAAAAAAUGUAAUCAGAAUUUGUCUGUGAAUAAGACAUAAUGCUUUAAAUAUGUAGGAAUAGCAGGGUCCGAGCAAAAGCGUGACAAGAGAAACAGCAGGAGAAGCGACAGCAGAAUAAAAGGACAGAGAAAACGGAGAAAAGAAAAGGCCGGGCGGGGUUCGGUGUGUGGACAGCAAGCGUGGAGUAAAACCGAAAGUUAUUAACGGAAAACCUAAAUGUUAUAAUAACCGUGUGAUUUUCAAUUGUUAACUACUAUAAUAAAACUCUAAGUUGAGUAUAUCUCAGCUUACAUUUAUUAUUCAUAAAAAUAGGAUAAGAAGUUGGUACGACAUCGAACCAAAAACGAUGCGAAUAAUGCUUAAUCAUUUAGUUAUCUAUUUCCAAAGCUGCAUAGAGUAUUUCGAUGAGGCACCCGAAAUUAAAAAUAUUUUUUAAAUUUUGAAAAGUAUACAACGGUUGCACUGCUUGUAAAAGCUUGAACAGCUUUUCUAAGAAACUUUCAUACACGAUCAUUUAUCGAACUGCUUUAAGUAAAGUUAAGUAAAGUAAAUGUAAGAUACUUUACAUAGACAAAAAAACUACACCGUGGGAAACAUAAAAUUCUUUAAAUAAAUACGUACAAGUUAAAGGUUUUAUUCUACUAAAUACGUUUUAAUAAUUUCCAAUAUUUUAUAUUUAACAACCAUUAUAUUAACAUUGAAAUAAAAUAAUUUUUGACCCACAAAAUAGUUUUUUGAAUAUUGAACAAACUAAGAUUUGAAACAUGUAUGGCCUGAAUGAUAUAAGUUUUAAAUCUACAAUUCGAUAAUUCUGUAGUUCCAAGAAAAAGCUUUAAAGCUUUUCAAGGCCUGCUGUGCUUCUACUGAUUCUUUCAUGAAGUUUCUGCAGAUGGCUCCUCAUUUGUGGAACUUCAAUGGGUCGUUUGCGAACUGGAAGUUGAGUUAACUCCCACAUUGGCAAUUCAUUGGCUUCUGUUGCCUUGGUUUAUCUGCACAGGCUGCACAUAAAACACGUUCGGAAUGACCGAAAAUGCGUAUCAGACAGACAGUCUACCAUUUCGGUGGAUUUCUCACACAUAAAAUCCGAGUUGAAAUCGAAGACAUUAACCGAAGGAAAACGGAUUGCAGCGCAGCAUCGUUCAUGUCUUCCCUAAUGGCUUGUACAUGGCACUUGAGCACUCUGCCGUGCCGUAUUUAUGGCCUGCACUCUACCAUUUGCUGUUGUCUGUGCACAGCGAAAAAAUUCAGAAAGUAAAAAGGCUAAUAAGGAUAAUCGUUACUCUACGCGUUCUUCUAAAUUUUAAUUCUUUUCAGUGAAUGCAAUUUAGAAAGCGAUAGAGGAACACAAUUUCUCAGAAAUUUGUAAUCCUCUCAAGCAAUAUGAAUGUUUAUAUCUUGAAGAUUCUAAAGACAUCGGCGACUUUUUUUUCUCAAUGGUCACAGCAAAAUGAUGUUGUGAAAUUCUUUAAUGAGCAAGAAGAAGUAUUGUUGAGUGUGAUUUUACUAUUUUCCAGCUGCCGGCUGCGCACGCCGCUUAUGCAAUGUGCAAUGUGAGGCUCAUCAUCAUGGGUCUAGCCCGAGUACAUGGGCUAACAUUUAACCCACAUCCAGCUGACGGAUCCGUUCCUGGUCCAUUGGCCGCGGGGAUUGACCUUCCCCCAUCUCCUAAGCCAGCUUCUUCCGCGGAAUGUGUUCGAAUUUGUCGGAGUUAAUUGAGUAACACGCCCACCGCGACCAGUGAACAGGGAAAACAAAUGAUUGCAGUUAAUUAAAUUUAAGCAAAAGCCCUGCCAGCAGCUACAAACAGCAUCAACAGCGUUACCAAUUCAUUGCAGUAAUAAAUUGACCCACUUUCGAAUCUGCAACCUGACCCAACUACAUGGCAAAUGUAGAAAAACAACAAGCGCAAAAUGUAUAUAUGUAUAAAAAAAACAUACACAAAGCCCAAAACAAACUUGGCUGUAAAAUCGACAAGCGCCAAACAACAACAAACAAGCCAGAGCAGCCAGCAAACCAGCAAAACAAACUCAACACUUUAGUGCAACAGUUUAGUGUCAGGCAAAACGAAUGACUUAAGAAACGAACGCGACCGCCCGACGACAGUCGCCCCAGUCGCUCACCCUUCAUCCAUCCCCUCUCCCGCCCGCUGAGGCCGUCUGCACGUGAUCCGGCGAUCAGUGAUGGCCACUAUUGUUAACCAAAAUGGUUGGUUGGUAAAAUUUGCAUAUAAGUUACCGUAAUUGUAUCGGAAACUAGCGGAUUUUUUACACUCCAUAUGAUAUUAUUUCUUUUCAGCGGUGAUUUUAGUCAAAUGGUCAAUUAUUUCUCCUUUAUGAAAAUAUUCGACAUUAAUUAAUUCUUUUUGUUUUAAAUUGCUAAGGUAAAUUUGUCUUCUGUGGAACACUGAAAUAUACAUUGAUUAAAACUAUUCGUAGUGGCUAACUAAGUAGAAUUUCGUAAUGCUAAUGCUAAUGCUAAAAGCAUUUUUUUGUAGACAUAAAUUUCCUUGUGAAUAGCUGGCACCUGCUGAAGUGGAACAAUUUUCACGAUUUUCGCUUUAAAACGGCCAAAUUCGCCACUCUGUUUGCCCGACCACUGCACCACACAUUGCACACACGAGUGUGUGUGUGUGUGUGUGUGUGCUCUUCUCGAAGCCAAGAAAAUUAGUCUGAAUCGGAAUCCGAGUGGCGCGCAGUAGCCAAGAGGGCGCGACUCUGUUGCAGUCAGCGCCAAUUCAACUUCAACUUUGAGCGGCAAUUGUUCGCCACCAGCCAAGGUAUCCAAGAAAAUAGUGGGGGGAAUUG